GCGGGGGUUGCCAAGCCAGGUCAAAGGCGCAGGGUUGAGGGCCCUGUCUCGGAGGAGUUCGCGAGUUCGAAUCUCGUCCCCCGCA
rfam:Candidatus Syntrophoarchaeum butanivorans isolate BOX1 BOX1_11reassembly_contig03, whole genome shotgun sequence.